AUAUGUCUAUUGAUUUUGUAGACUUAUGUAGAUUUCCUUUUUGCAAUAUUCUUUCUUUUUGUCAAAGAUAGAAAAGAAUAUAGUCGGGUUUUCCGCUACAUUUUAAUUCGUCUUAAUAAAAACAGAAAAUGAGAGCUAAGUGGAGGAAGAAGCGUAUGCGGAGGUUGAAGCGUAAACGCAGAAAGAUGCGUGCAAGAUCUAAAUAAGCUUCGACUAGUAAUUGAUUCCAUCGCUCUGAAUAUUAAAAAUAUAUUUGAUUUUAUAAUUGGGUGAAGUUAAAUAAAUAUUAAUUUCGGAGUA